UCUUACGGAUGUGCAAAGAAAAUGGUUUCUUGAGAUAGAAUCUAUUCCUGGAGAAGAUGCUAUGAA
rnacentral:pre_miRNA from 1 species